ensembl:lncRNA
GGAGGAUCCCACACUUCUCAUUCCUGUCAUUUGACGCCACUGUAGCAGCACAAUCUUCCAGUUUAAUGAGACUGAGGUCCUAAAUGCAGCCUUACAAUGAACAUUGCCUAACAACUAUUCAGAGAACUGCUCGUGGAUGUCACUGCUACAGAAGGACUGGGCCUUCUGAGGCCUUCCUGUCCCACUCCACAGAGAAGGGAUUGUCUUAAUAUUUUCACAACUUGUUCAUAAAUAUUAACUCUUUACACCAAAGCAUAUUCUGUCCAUGUGUUCAUUUGCUAUUGUGAAGGUUACAUUGUUUCACUUUUCCAAGUUUUUUUGCGCCUUUUGUCACACUUACCAUUGUUUCUUUGUUCUAAGCCUCUAUGGAAGUCAGGUGAUUGGGAAGGGGGCCGCCCAGCUUUUCCUGACCUUUAUGGUUGGUAUGGUCAUUUCAUAUCUAACCUGAUCAGGUUAAACCAAGAGGCAGGGUGUUUUUUCCAUAGGAAUCUUUUAUUCUGUUUGUUUUUCGGGUUGUGGAAAAAUUUCACAGGAGUAUUUGUCCCAGAGGGCGACAUUUAGCUGUGCAAAUGAGUGAGUCGUGGGAUUAGUGAGUUUUUAUAGGAUUUUCAGGUACUCAUGUGGAUUUCUAAAUUUGCUGGCUUAAACUAUCGUUACUGCCUGGAGUUCGACACCCCCGGCCUAGACUUAAUGUGAACUGACAGCCCUCUAUGUUACACAGUCAUAGGUUGGUUCAGAGGAGGAUGAGCGGUGUUGUCUAGAGCAGGGGUGUCCAACUCCAGGCUUCAAGGGCUCGUGUCUUUGAUUCAACACAGCUGAUUUAAAUGACCUCCUCAACAUGUCUUGAAGUUCUCCAGAGGCCUGGUAAUGAACUAAUCAUGUGAUUCAGGUGUGUUGACCCAGGGUGAGAUCUAAAACCUGCAGGACACCGGCCCUCGUGGCCUGGAGUUGCCCACCCCUGAUACAUACUGAUGACAAAUUGAACCAAAAAUGUCAUACUUAGAUUCAUGAGACCUACUGCCACUGAUUCUCAUUAACCAGUUCCCUUUCUUAAGAAUGGCUCCUUCACAAUCACCCUGUACCUCAGACCAUUUCUGAUUAUGCUUCAGUGAACACUAGAGGGCUCAACUGAAGGGCUGGCUGCAUCUCUGUGUCAGGUCUUUGCAGGAUUUUUUCCACCCUAUUUCUUAAUGGCAUGACUUUCAGGUAUUGAUUGCCUGCUCUGUUUAUAGUGGAUGUGUCGGUUCCUCUCUUGUCCUCCACUUGUCCAAUUUUGUCAAAUGUUUUAAGGACACUGCACACAGUGUCAAAAUAUGGCAGGAUUUCAUCUAAUAGCUCAUUGGUGCAGACUUGGCACCUAUAACACACCCAUUUCUGUAAUAUAUCUAUAUAACCCUAUAUUAUUGCUAAUAUAUAUUUUGUAAUAUAUCUAUAUCAUGGCUAAAGCAUUUGAUGGAUGC